ensembl:lncRNA
AUGACCUCAUUGCGAAUAAGGUCACACGGAGGCACUGGGGGUUCGGGCUCUAACAGACCUGUUUUUGCGGGGAAAUACCCCGUUCCCGCUGAGGAAAUCGACACCCAGGCACCAGGCGGUGGUGAGCCGGGCCGGAGUGUGAUCGCCCCUCUGGUGCAGAGCCGUGUCUGCCCUGGGCUCCCGCGGCCAGGGAGUAAAGAAAAUGCGAUUCGUGAGAAAAAGGAGGUUGCAGCGGCUGCACCAAUGGUAACGUGUGUUCAUCGCAGAGGGUGUGCCGAGUGGGGGAACCGCGAGGCACGGGGAGGCCCCGCCGCUGGGCCUGCGCGGCUGGAGGGACGGUGUCUCCCCAACGACACGAACCAAGGGCUGUUCUGGGGUUGGCAGCACCCCCUCCAGGCCGCACCCGCCGUCCGCUGCCUCGUCUCUGCCCACGCGUGGGUCGUUCUGACGGUCCCUUCCCCCGAAGGUCCAAGCCUCAUAGGGGCGUGAGGCCCUGCGGCUAGACCAGGGGGUGGCCUACGGGCCCCAGUCACAGCCCCGGCUUCACUGCCUGAGGGGACGGUCACCAUCUUUGUUUCCAAUUUGCUUUUCUCAGACCUCCAGAAACUCUAGGCGUUAAGAGGGUCUGUUUUCGCAGGUCUACUCUUGGCAGGAUUUAGAUGUGAUUCCAGAGGGGCCAAAGUUCCGUUCCAAGGAAAGGUGGAGACUAUUGUGCGGAACAGAGUUUCGGUGCACCGAUGAACACCGAGAGGACGCUUACAGAACGUCUGGCGAGUAGGGGCGCCCGGGGGCUCAGUCAGCGUCUGACCUUGGCUCAGGUCACGAUCUCACAGUUCAUGAGUUCGAGCCCUGGGUCGGGCUCUGUGCUGACAGCUCAGAGCCUGGAGCUGCUUCGGAUUCUGUGUCUCCCUCUCUGCUCCUGCCCUGCCUGCUCUCUCUCUCUCAAAAAUAAAUAAAUAUGAAAAAACUUAAAAAUGAAUAAAAAUAAAAAGCAAUGCCACAUGUUGAGGGGAGAGCCCCGGGGAGGCCAAGGGACCUGUGGUCCCGAAAGCCACAGACUGUCCAGAAGGAAGCUGGAAACAGGGUCAAAGGGCACACACGUGCCCUCCCGUGGGUGAGAGCAGUUCCAGGGCGCGUGGGGGCAGGCUUCCCAGAGGAAGCGGCACAACUCGCGCCCACGAGUCUCGUGGAGCACGAAGGGGUGUCAGCCCCGAGGUGGAGCCCGCCCGUGACCGCGCAGGAGCCCCGCUGAGACUCUGGGAGGAAUGGGAAACGACACAGGUCCUGGAUGAGAAGGGGAGGGUUCACAAGGCGGGUGCGGCCAUUCAAGACCAGGAAAAGUCGAUAUUUUUAAGAAAAUGUUUUAUUUAUCUUGAGAAAGAGGGAGACAGCGUGAGUGGGGUAGGGGCAGGGAGAGAUGGGGGGAGAGAGAAUCCCCAGCAGGCUCCACGCUGUCCGCGUGGAGCCCAACGCAGGGCCCGAUCUCAAGAACCAUGAGACCAUGACCUGAACCAAAAUCAGGAGUCGGACGCUCAACGGCCUGAGCCCCCCAGACGCCCCAGGGAAAGUCAUUCUUUCACAGACAAUUAAAAAAAAAAAGCCAGCCCACUGCCCGUCCCCUCCAUCAGAUGCCGUCACAUUCUCCGUCCACCGGGAGACUGAGAGGGGGUCAGGGACGGGGGGCAUCUGUGGAAAGACUGUCACAGACAGUGUCUUAAGAACAUUCAACAUCCACUCAGUUACUGAAAAAUCGAAAGCAAUGAAUUUGGAGUUCCUGGUUCUCUGGGCACAGGGAAGUUCACCGUUUCACAAGAGGAAACCGAGUGAUUAAAAGAAAAACCCAAGGCCACAUGUCAGACGUGGGGAGAGACGAAGGAACAAGCCUCGUAUCUGGGGGAGGUCAGCAAAGACCCACGCCCACGACCUCCCAGAAGCCCCCUUAGCAGAUGGUGUAGUUGAGUCUCUCGCGUGCAUUUCCAAAUGUAGGGGUGAAGCUCCAUCUCAGAGGCCUGAGGCCUGAGUGGAAGGGGAGGGCCCUUCUCUCUCUCUCUUUUUAAAAAUGUUUUAUUUAUUUUUAUAUUUGAGAGAGAGAGAGAGACAGUGCAAGCGAGGGAGGGGCAGAGAGAGGGAGACACAGAAUUCGAAGCAGCUCCAGUCUCUGAGCUGUCAGCACAGAGCCCGACGCAGGGCUCGAACCCACAAACCAUGAGAUCAUGACCUGAGCCAAAGUCAGACGCUUCACCAACUGAGCCCCCCGGGCGCCCCUCGGAGGGCCCUUCUCUUAGGCCGAGUGGUGUGCGAGGGUCACCGCCGAGACGCUGGUUCCCGGGGUGGCCAGGCCAGGCCUCUGGAGGAGCUGGGGGACCGCGUGCAACAGAGGCAGGAAUGCAGACAGGGGCCGACGUCCUCUGGGUCCCCAUUACUCUGCACACAAACUGGAGAGGUGUGGCCGCGAUUCGUGCAGUGGCCCCAGAGCCUCCGGGCCUGGCAGGCGGAGGCCAAGGAGGCUGGGGAGAUUAGUCCCAAGGCCCCCCAAGAGUAAGGGUCCCCAGCCUGAGCUGCUCAGACUCACCUGGAGGCCUGGGCCCCGCCCAGAGCUCCUGAGUGCUCGUGGGGGGUGGGGCCAGAGAACUCAGGGUGCUUGGAGAGCAGCAGGUCCCUGAGGACAACCAGCCCUAAGAGUGGUGUCUCGGGACUGAGCAGGGAACGGUCAGGUGCUGAGGACCCCAUGUUUUAGCAGAAAGCGGGAGAGGCGUCCUAGCUUAGGAGGGCCCCCGAGGCUCCAUGGGUCCAGAAAGGAAAGGCGCGUCCCUGCCAGGGCCGGAGACAGAGGGGAGGGGAGAGGCCAGGACUUGAGUGUCCGAGGCCCCCCGGCAGCGCUGGCCUCACCCUCCUCUCUUGCCCUCGAAGCCCUGCAGAGCCCUCCGGUAGACGCAGGUCCUCCAGGAGGACGUCCCAGACUUGAGGGCACUCGGAGGUGAGGCACAGACCCAGCUGACCUGCUACCCGGGGGAAAGGAAGGGGCCACAUCUCUGCUCUCAACUUCCGGCCGAAUGAGGCCAAGCUGCUGGUGAGGGGUGGGCGCCUGGCCUCGGCUCUCCUGCUCACAGCACCCGCCAUGCCCGGCAGAGCCCGGCGGCCUUGACCUCGGACCUCCGGGACUGCGGAGAGAUAACUGUGUGCUGUUUAAGGCGUCCAGAAUGUGGUGCCGGGCGAGCAGUCGGGGCAAAUAAUAUGCCAACACCUGUGUCCCCAGGGAAGGUGCAGUCUGUUUUGGGGGAAGGAAAGUGAACACAAGUGUCCAUCACAAGACAGGCAAGGGCGUCUGAGAGACACUUGAACCAGGAUCAGGACAGAACAGAUGACCCGCCCCUUGGGGGUCCGCCUGUGGAGUCACCCAGAUUUGGAUGGAGCUGAGAGCUAGGGAGAGAAAGAACGGGCGCCCCGGAAGUACCACCAAGCAGGAUGCCCGGGGCUGACCCCGGGCCAGUUCUGUGGUUCGUGGGCAGGGCUCAUCCUACGGUUUCCUUGGGGUGUGUGACUCAGGGUUGGUGACAGCAGACGAUGAAGAGGCUGGAGCAGCCAUCGGGAAGACGGACUGACGGCAGGAGACAGGAUCUGAGGGCACCUGGGGGCUCAGUCGGUGAAGCUUCGACUUUGGCUCAGCUCAUGAUCUCGCCAUUUGGGAGUUGGAGUCCUGCAUCAGGCUCUGCACCGACAGCGCAGAGCCUGCCUGGGAUCCUCUCUCUCCCUCUCUCUCUGCCCCUCCCCUGCUCCUGCUCUGUCUCUCUCAAAAAUAAAUAAACAUUAAAAAAAAAUUUAGAAGACGGGAUCUGUACUCUGCUCACCCAUAAUGCGUGACACCACACGCUUUUUAUUUUGGAAGAUUCUCUUUUUAUCAGAAAUCUACCAUUUUGGGGGCACCUGGGUGGCUCAGCUGGUUAAGCAUCAACUUCAGCUCAGGUCAUGUUCCCACCGCUUGUGAGUUUGAGCCCCACGUCGGGCUCUGUGCUGACAGAGGCUGGAACCUACUUCGGAUUCUGUGUCUCCCUUGCUCUCCGCCCCUCACCCCUCUCAAAAAUAAAGAAAACAUUUUUAAAAAUUAAAAACAAAAGAAUAUUAGAAAUCUACCGUUUUUGGAAUUUGUAUCGGCUUACUUUCCAUUUCUACAAAAUUCUUUAUUUUGAAGCUUUUGGAUAGUUUUUAUGAUAAACCCAGAAGAUGAGCUGAUGGAAAGCAUUGGUGUCAAAUCAAAUGAGGUUCUAUUUUGAAAUCUAAGAAGACGGGGACUUGGCAGAGUGGUACAUGAGCAGCUGGAUUGCAG